UACGUAGGGUGCGAGCGUUGUCCGGAAUUAUUGGGCGUAAAGAGCUCGUAGGCGGCCUGUCGCGUCGGAUGUGAAAGCCCGGGGCUUAACCCCGGGUCUGCAUUCGAUACGGGCAGGCUAGAGUUCGGUAGGGGAGAUCGGAAUUCCUGGUGUAGCGGUGAAAUGCGCAGAUAUCAGGAGGAACACCGGUGGCGAAGGCGGGUCUCUGGGCAAUAACUGACGCUGAGGAGCGAAAGCGUGGGGAGCGAACAGG
rnacentral:rRNA from 1 species